UACGUAGGGGGCAAGCGUUGUCCGGAAUCAUUGGGCGUAAAGAGCGUGUAGGCGGCUCGAUAAGUCUGCUGUGAAAGUCCAGGGCUCAACCCUGGAAGGCCGGUGGAAACUGUCGGGCUAGAGUCCGGAAGAGGCGAGUGGAAUUCCCGGUGUAGCGGUGAAAUGCGCAGAUAUCGGGAGGAACACCGGUGGCGAAGGCGGCGACCUGGGUCGAUACUGACGCUGAUGCGCGAAAGCGUGGGGAGCAAACAGG
rnacentral:rRNA from 1 species